rnacentral:lncRNA from 1 species
AUUUACCAGCAAUGGUUUUUGGUGUCUGUAUGGAUGAUUCUUGUAGACAGCUCGAGGCAACUACCCAAUUCCGAUAAUUGCUUUUUAGGCUCAUAGUUCCGAGUGGGAGAUGUCACUGUGCCUUCUAGUGGAUUCAGUUUCAACUGAAGGUAAAAACCCGAAAGACAAAGAUGAGCAAAAUUGGUGCAGUCGAAGCAACUUGUUGGCUUUUUAAUCAUGUUUGAUCUUUCAGUUUUUGGAGUAAUUUGCAUCCUGAAGUUUUUCUUUGUUUUGGACUUAUCAAUGGAUGAUACUUUUUUGUCCUCCUAAAAAUUUAUUUACCCAACUCAUUCUCAAGAUGAAACCAGUUAUUUUCUUUUCUAAUGGUCUUAAGAAUGCGUUCCUGUCCAAUUCUUUGUUACUCGAAAAAAAAUUUAAAAUUAAAAUUGAUCCUCAUCAAAUAAUAAUGUAUUUCCUCAUAUAGUAUCCACAAGGCAUAAAGCAUUAGUGGCGUGUUUAACGCAUCCCCCAACUGCUUCGUUCCAGCCCAUCUUCAAAGAUUGAAAUUGUUGAAGAAGGAAUGAAUGUUACCUAAAUUGAGAAACCUAAUGCUUGUUUAUCAUUAUAGAAUCAGAAUGCUUUCCUCUCAGAACUAUGAACUUGUGCUCUCUUCACUAGAGGAUUUGGAAAUUGAAAAUUGCCAUGUGAAGACAAAAUUAUGUUCAAGACAACUAAGUGCACCUGUGCUUGAUGAAGCAUCUAAAGAUGGAAAGUCCUUUGAUAUUUCGAAUUUCUUGGAUUCUGAAGGUAUACAUGUCUUCUUGAUUCCCAAUUUUCAAUGUAUACUAUAUUAUAUACACUACAAUGUACACUAUG